rnacentral:rRNA from 1 species
GAUGAACGCUGGCGGCGUGCCUAAUACAUGCAAGUCGAACGCUGGAAAUCUAGCUUGCUAGAUUGAAGGAGUGGCGAACGGGUGAGUAAUACAUAAGCAACCUACCCACGAAGACUGGGAUAAUCUCUGGAAACGGGGACUAAUACCGGAUAGGUAAUCGGAAGGCAUCUUCUGAUUAUUAAAGGUUAAAAACACUGGUGGAUGGGCUUAUGGCGCAUUAGUUAGUUGGUGAGGUAACGGCCCACCAAGACGAUGAUGCGUAGCCGGCCUGAGAGGGUGAACGGCCACAUUGGGACUGAGACACCGCCCAGACUCCUACGGGAGGCAGCAGUAGGGAAUUUUCCGCAAUGGGGGAAACCCUGACCGAGCAACGCCGCGUGAGUGAUGACCGCCUUCGGGUUGUAAAGCUCUGUUGUAAGGGAAGAACGGUAGAUAGAGAAUAUCUAAAUGACGGUACCUUACCAGAAAGCCACGGCUAACUACGUG